UGAUAAAUGAGUAGGGCGGGACACGUGAAAUCCUGUCUGAAUAUGGGGGGACCAUCCUCCAAGGCUAAAUACUCCUGAAAGACCGAUAGUGAACAAGUACUGUGAAGGAAAGGUGAAAAGCACUUCGAAUAGAAGGGUGAAAUAGAACCUGAAACCGUACGCCUACAAGCGGUCGGAGCAGCGUUAAUGCUGUGACGGCGUGCCUUUUGCAUAAUGAGCCUACGAGUUAAUCUUACUAGCGAGGUUAAGGACUUAAGGUCCGGAGCCGUAGCGAAAGCGAGUCUGAAUAGGGCGGAUAGUUAGUGGGAUUAGACGCGAAACCUUGUGAUCUACCCAUGGGCAGGUUGAAGCUUUGGUAACACAAAGUGGAGGACCGAACCGGUUGACGUUGAAAAGUCUUCGGAUGACCUGUGGGUAGGGGUGAAAGGCCAAUCAAACUGGGAGAUAGCUCGUACUCCCCGAAAUGCAUUUAGGUGCAGCGUCGAUAUAGUUUAUUAGAGGUAGAGCUACUGAUUGGAUGCGGGGGUUUCAUCGCCUACCAAUUCCUGACAAACUCCGAAUGCUAAUAAAUGAUUGUCGGCAGUGAGGGCAUGGGUGCUAAGGUCCAUGUCCGAGAGGGAAAGAACCCAGACCAACAGCUAAGGUCCCUAAAUAUAUGCUAAGUUGAAAGAACGCGGUUGGACUGCAUUGACAGCUAGGAUGUUGGCUUGGAAGCAGCCAUUCAUUUAAAGAGUGCGUAACAGCUCACUAGUCGAGCGGUCCGGCAUGGAUAAUAAUCGGGCAUAAGCAUAUUACCGAAGCUAUGGCAGUAUUUAAUACUGGGUAGGGGAGCAUUCUAUUUGCGCCGAAGCAGUACUGUGAGGUAUUGUGGAGCGGAUAGAAAAGAAAAUGUAGGCAUAAGUAACGAUAAAGGGGGCGAGAAACCCCCUCACCGAAAGACUAAGGUUUCCUCAGCCAUGCUAAUCAGCUGAGGGUUAGUCGGGGCCUAACGCGAAGCCGACAGGCGUAGUGGAUGGACAACGGGUUAAUAUUCCCGUACCAGUAUAUUAAUAAAAGUGACGGAGUUGGAAACUAGGUGCGUACUGACGGAAUAGUACGUUGAAGUAAUCGCGAGAUUACGAUAGUACAGCAAAUCUUCGGAUGCGCUGAUAAUCCUGGGGACCCGCUUCCAAGAAAAGCGAAAUAUACUGCCCGUACCAAAACCGACACAGGUAGUCGAGGAGAGAAUCCUAAGGUGCUCGAGUGAGUCGUGGCUAAGGAACUAGGCAAAAUAGUCUCGUAACUUCGGAAGAAGAGACGCCUCCCUCCGGGGAGGCCGCAGUGAAGAGGCCCAGGCGACUGUUUAUCAAAAACACAGGACUCUGCUAAAUCGAAAGAUGCUGUAUAGGGUCUGACACCUGCCCGGUGCUGGAAGGUUAAGGAAGGGCGUUAGCGUAAGCGAAGCGUUUGACUGAAGCCCCAGUAAACGGCGGCCGUAACUAUAACGGUCCUAAGGUAGCGAAAUUCCUUGUCGGGUAAGUUCCGACCUGCACGAAUGGUGUAACGAUCUGGGCACUGUCUCAGCCACGAGCUCGGUGAAAUUGUAGUAUCGGUGAAGAUGCCGAUUACCCGCAAUGGGACGAAAAGACCCUGUGAACCUUUACUAUAACUUCGUAUUGACUUCGAGUAAACAAUGUGUAGGAUAGGUGGGAGGCAGUGAAGCAGGCACGCUAGUGUUUGUGGAGCCAACGUUGAAAUACCACCCUUUGUUUACUUGGAGCCUAACUUCUACGGAAGGACAUUGCGUGGUGGGUAGUUUGACUGGGGUGGUCGCCUCCAAAAGAGUAACGGAGGCUUUCAAAGGUACCCUCAGCACGCUUGGUAACCGUGCGUAGAGUGUAAUGGCAUAAGGGUGCUUGACUGUGAGACCUACAAGUCGAUCAGGUGCGAAAGCAGGACAUAGUGAUCCGGUGGUUCCGUAUGGAAGGGCCAUCGCUCAUAGGAUAAAAGGUACUCCGGGGAUAACAGGCUAGUCUCCCCCAAGAGCUCACAUCGACGGGGAGGUUCGGCACCUCGAUGUCGGCUCGUCACAUCCUGGGGCUGGAGAAGGUCCCAAGGGUUGGGCUGUUCGCCCAUUA
rnacentral:rRNA from 1 species